GAUGAACGCUGGCGGCAGGCCUAACACAUGCAAGUCGAGCGGUAGCACAGAGAGCUUGCUCUCGGGUGACGAGCGGCGGACGGGUGAGUAAUGUCUGGGAAACUGCCUGAUGGAGGGGGAUAACUACUGGAAACGGUAGCUAAUACCGCAUAACGUCGCAAGACCAAAGAGGGGGACCUUCGGGCCUCUUGCCAUCAGAUGUGCCCAGAUGGGAUUAGCUAGUAGGUGGGGUAACGGCUCACCUAGGCGACGAUCCCUAGCUGGUCUGAGAGGAUGACCAGCCACACUGGAACUGAGACACGGUCCAGACUCCUACGGGAGGCAGCAGUGGGGAAUAUUGCACAAUGGGCGCAAGCCUGAUGCAGCCAUGCCGCGUGUAUGAAGAAGGCCUUCGGGUUGUAAAGUACUUUCAGCGGGGAGGAAGGUGUUGAGGUUAAUAACCUCAGCAAUUGACGUUACCCGCAGAAGAAGCACCGGCUAACUCCGUGCCAGCCGCCGCCGUAA
rnacentral:rRNA from 1 species